AAAGCUUUGGCCUUGAACUUGCAGUAGGAGUUGGUGUCUCUCAGAGCAAAGAAAUCAUCUGACGGGGGCUGAAGAACGUCUGGGCUCUGCAGGACAGUGGGAUGAGAGCGCACAGGGUUGGUGCCCGUGGCACUGCUGGACUCGGAGCUGCAGAACCACCAUGUCCUCUCUCCUUAUCAUCCUCCACAUGCUCCUUUUUGGGUAUUUUGCAGCACUUUGAGGCUGGGAGAAGUGGUGCAGCAGCAAUGACAACCAGGACAUUGUCCCCUUGGGACAUGCAUUGAGCGAGACCCGGCUGCCUGCCUUAGCCCUUGAAAGGAAGGGGUGAAGGAAAAUGGGAAAAGGAGAAGGUGGGAAGGAGAACGAGAGAGAAAAAUGAAUUGCUUAAAACUUCUAUUACUCUUCAUUACCUUCUGCUUUAUGUAAGUUCCAAGGUUCAUUUACCAGCUGUAAGUGGCCUGGUGCCUUUGUGUGUAGGAGUUGUCAUGCCCAUUGCUCCCAUUAAUGUACUGCGUGAAGCUAAAGGUAGCUUGGCUGGAGCUGCAAAGCCAAAUCAAUGUAACUAAUGUACCUCGUGCCACAAAUCCCUAAUUGUCCGCCGUUGGACUGGAUGGAUGGGCUUGGAAUGUUUGAAUCUUCGCCGUGAAUGGGGAUAGCGGGGAGAUGGCUGCUGCUGGGAGCUGCUCUGGGGGCUGUGGGGGAACACACAGUGUUCUGAAACCAGAAGAGGGGAUGGGAGUGUCCUUAGGGCUGACCCACUGCGAGUUCCUCUGCAUCCAGGAGCUGGAAGCGAUGCUGUCCUGAGUAUUUCUCAAAACUCCCCUUGGUGAGACUUGGCCAUUUGCUGUCCUGUCAGCAGCCUGAGAGGGUGUGCAGAAAUUUGAAUGAAUCUGUCCUUUUUCUUUUCUUCCCUCCCCUCUCCUCUUUUUUUUUUUUUUUUAAUGAAAAUGUUGGUUUUUGAAGAUAAUCCUCAGGAUUCCUUUAAAAUCUGCUGGUUUGGUACAGCCAGGACAGCCAACUCCCACUUCUGGGUAAAAACAGCAGUAAAGCAAGAAAAACAUUGUCUGAACACAGAGGAGUAUUCGUCUGUUACCUGAGGGAAUAUCAGUUAUUACAGAUUUUUCCUAGCACAUAUUUGUAGGCUUGCUCAUGUGCUGAGUUCCAUUCCAACAAGAGGAAACUUGUAGGGCUCUUUCUCUGAGAUUCUCAGAGAAAAUAAUCAUCAUCAUCAUAAUGGUGUGGUUUAUUAUUCUGAUGUGGAAAUGAAGGUGUGAGCUGUUGGAAGCUCAGAUGGUGCUUCUCUGGGUUUGUGCUUCUGCCAGGGGUUGGAUUCUUAUGGAAAAUCCAAUGCUACAGCAGCAGUUGGGGUCUCAUUCAAAGUACCUCCACUGAAGUUGGACAUCUCUAGCUAUGUUGCAUGUCAUAAAAAUAAGGUAUAUCCGAAUCUACCUGUUGGUCUGUACUGGACAUGGAUAAGCCUGGCAUAUGAGGUGUUGCAUCUUACAGAGGGCACAACAAAAGCUGGCUCCUGCCCUGAAGGCCUUGAAACCUGAAUACAUCUGAAGAUCAGAGAGAAGAAGGAGGUGUAAGGACAGAGGUUUAUCCAAGGUCUCCCAACUCAACCACAAAGGAUUUUCCAACCCCUCCACCGAAGUCAUCACAGCACAAAAGUGUUUUGUUGCAAUGCAAAAGAAAUCCUCUUUUCUAUAUUUAGCUGCAGAAUUACUCCUGAAACGCAGUAGUUCUCACAGGCUCCUUGAACAAAAUAAUGUUAUUAGACCGAGCGCCAGGAGAGGCAAAGGUGAUUUGGCAUCUCAUUGAAAUCUGCACCCGGCGCUGUUAACGAUGGGGAACCUAUCCGGAUGUACUGCAAGCACAAACUCUUCAGAUUUACACAUUUCAGUCAGAGCAGCCUGCAACCCUUCUGCAAAAGCGGAGGAGAAUUUCAUACUUUUCCCCCCCUCUCUUUAAACUGAGACAAAUCUCCACGAAAAUUCAUUACGCGGUUUAAGUGAUGGGAUUUAUCACCCCAUUCAGCUCCUCCAGCUCGGAGCUCUCCUCGCUGUCACACCAGUGAGGCAAUUCUAAUUUGUUUCUUUCAUAUUUCCCCCAUGAAGUUCGUCUCCGAGUGAUGGGAAGAAAAUAGAGACGAGAGCCAGGGAUGGCUCGGGGCAAUGCACUGCGCCAGCGGCCAAUUUUCUGCCUCCUGCUUCGCUGUCCUGGCUAUGGAGCCUUCAUGGAAGGGGAGACAUAGCAGGAGGAGGAUUGGAGUGCUCUGCAGAGGAGAUACGGGUGCUGCCAGCAGCUGGCUUAGACUGAAAUACAAAAAUCCUCCUAAAAGGCAUAAAAAAGCCACCGGAGCUUGAAUGGGCCCAAGGCACCUGCAUGGCCAGGCCAUGGAGUUCCAACAGCAACGUGAAACUGUUGGUUGAGCAUCUGAGAAUUUAUUUAGGCAGGUCCCUAAAUCUGGCACCCAUUUUAGAUGUAUACAUCAUUUAUUAGAGCUGACCUUUAUCUAGCGUUAAUAAUAAAUUGAUGAUGCUUCCUGUUAAGCCUCAUAUAAACACAUCUUUAGCUAAUAAACACUCCAGCCGUAUACCCAGAGAGUUUGUUUCUGUCUGCCUGGAGUUAUUACCCCAUAAACAAGAAGCAGCUCCACAUGAUCAUCUAAUUGAUGUAUUUUGCUCGAUUCCCAAUAUGCCAUAAAAAGGUAUGUUUGUUGUGGAGAAACUACAGUUUUUAUCAUCUGCCUCAUUCUAAGGGAGGAUGACUGGAAGAAAUCCACUUUAUGUUUACUAAAAUAUUUAGAACAAGCAGUGAAAGAUG
rnacentral:lncRNA from 7 species